rnacentral:rRNA from 1 species
GUGCCAGCAGCCGCGGUAAUACGUAGGGUGCAAGCGUUAAUCGGAAUUACUGGGCGUAAAGCGUGCGCAGGCGGUUUUGUAAGUCUGUCGUGAAAGCCCCGGGCUUAACCUGGGAAUUGCGAUGGAGACUGCAAGGCUUGAAUCUGGCAGAGGGGGGUAGAAUUCCACGUGUAGCAGUGAAAUGCGUAGAGAUGUGGAGGAACACCGAUGGCGAAGGCAGCCCCCUGGGUCAAGAUUGACGCUCAUGCACGAAAGCGUGGGGAGCAAACAGGAUUAGAU